rnacentral:lncRNA from 1 species
GGCUCGACCGGGAGCCAGAUGCUGACGGGGGAGGCGUAAUGCUGGGGCGGGUAGUGGUAGGCCCAGACCACCACGACGGAGACGAUGGCCGCGACGGCGAGCGCCCACAGGCGCCGCCUCGGAGAAGCUGCUCUCUGGCGGGGCAGCGGCGCGGCCUUCAUGUCCCCGACGACGGCCGCGGCCGGGCAGCAGCUCGCGCGGGGCCGCCGUCAGAGCCCGGAUCGUCCACGAAGCGCCGCCCGAUCGGACCCGCCCGCGGCAGACGGAUCGGCCGCCGCCUGGACGGAGACGGGGAGGGAGGAGGGCUCGGUUCUCGGUAGCUCGAACUGGCGACGAAGCAAAUAAAGGGGGAAGGGAAGGAGCUGCUGUCAGGCUAGGGUUCCUUACCGGCGCGGGGGCGGCGAUUGAUCAGCCCACCGGCCGUCCUGGCUCGCCGCCGCCGGAGCAGAACUGGAUGGGGGAGAGGAUGAGAGCUGAUCCGGCGGGUGGGGAGAAGAGAAAUCAGGGGAGGCGGCGCGGAGAGGGGCGGGNNNNN